AUUAAUACCACCUAGUGAUGAUUGUAUCAGUACUUUACAAUCAUAGUAUUUAAUUUGUAUAUUCAGUAGGCUCUCACUAGCUAAAAUAUACCAACACUACUUAUAAGUCUCAUUCAAAGGAUGUGUUAUCAACCAUGAAGUCUUAUAAUAAUUCUUCAAAUAAUGUUCAUGGUGUUGACAAUACUUAUUGUCCUAGAAAUUCUCCACCCAGAAAUCUUUCUAUCAUAGAUUUGAUUUUGUUCACAUAAUUAUAAUUUUCACUAAAAUUCCACCUUGUAGUAACAAACUUUUAAUUCAAUCGGAGAAUGGUUUACUUUAAAAUAACUUGGAAAGAAUACUUUAAAUUCAUUAGCAUCACUCUCUUCAUUAGACCUUAAUUGUGAUGACUUAUUAAUGUAAUACAUCUUAAACGCAGGAUUGUCCUAAUGUUCUGACCAAUCCGUAUUCCUUUGUACACUUCAACUGACUAAAAUAAAAUAAACAAAAUAAACUUGGGGUCAUACUGCCCAGAAACUCUUAUUCCUAGUCUGUGUCUAACAAACUCAUGGUAAUCAUAAAACAACUUAACAACGUAUUCAUUGGAUACCGUCAUAUCCAGAAACCUAUUCUCCCUAGCCCAUACCUUUAUAGACUUUGGUCAAAUAUAAU